rnacentral:rRNA from 1 species
GACGAACGCUGGCGGCGUGCUUAACACAUGCAAGUCGAACGGAAAGGCCCUGCUUUUGUGGGGUGCUCGAGUGGCGAACGGGUGAGUAACACGUGAGUAACCUGCCCUUGACUUUGGGAUAACUUCAGGAAACUGGGGCUAAUACCGGAUAGGAGCUCCUGCUGCAUGGUGGGGGUUGGAAAGUUUCGGCGGUUGGGGAUGGACUCGCGGCUUAUCAGCUUGUUGGUGGGGUAGUGGCUUACCAAGGCUUUGACGGGUAGCCGGCCUGAGAGGGUGACCGGCCACAUUGGGACUGAGAGACGGACCAGACUCCUACGGGAGGCAGCAGUGGGGAAUAUUGCACAAUGGGCGGAAGCCUGAUGCAGCAACGCCGCGUGCGUGAUGACGGCCUUCGGGUUGUAAACCGCUGUCGCUUGUGACGAAGCGGGAGUGACGGUAAUGGGUAAAGAAGCACCGGCUAACUACGUG